rnacentral:rRNA from 1 species
UUAAUUGAAGAGUUUGAUCAUGGCUCAGAUUGAACGCUGGCGGCAGGCCUAACACAUGCAAGUCGAGCGGCAGCACAGAGAAACUUGUUUCUCGGGUGGCGAGCGGCGGACGGGUGAGUAAUGCCUGGGAAAUU